AUUGCCUUAGUAACGGCGAGUGAAGCGGCAACAGCUCAAAUUUGAAAUCUGGCUUCGGCCCGACUGUAAUUUGUAGAGGAUGCUUUUCGUGUGGUGCCUUCUCAGAGUUCCCUGUAACGGGACGCCUUACUGGGUGAGAGCCCCGAAUCCCCGGACACCAAACCUAGAAAGCUCCUCCGACGAUUCGAGUAGUUUGGGAAUGUUGCUCAGGAUGGGAGGUAAAUGUCUUCAAACCUAAAUAUUGGCGAGAGACCGAUAGCCCACAAGUAGAGUGAUCCAAAGAUGAAAAGACUUUGAAAAGAUGGUUAAAAAGCACGUGAAAUUGUUGAAAGGGAAGCGCUUGAAACCAGACUUGUGGAAGCCUGAUCACGCCAGCCUUCACUGGUGCACUCUCCCCGGCUCACGCCUCCGGCGGUUCUCGCGGGGGAAAGGCUUCAGGAACGUGGCUCCCUCUCGGUGUGUUAUAGCCUGUUGUUUCCUUACCCCUCGGGGGACUGAGGUUCGCGCGUCGCAAGGACGCUUGCGUAAUGGUCAUCACCGUCUUGAAACACGGA
rnacentral:rRNA from 1 species